rnacentral:lncRNA from 1 species
GUGAUACUGUGUUAUCUCUCAUGGGUACUUUUAUUUCAUAUCUCCAAAAUGUCCUUGUUCCAAUUGGUGGGAAUUUGAUGUUUCUCAAGCCACAGGUCUCUAUAGGUGACCAGGGGAUUCUCUCUACCACAUGUGAACGCCUCCGUGGAGCUCAUAAGUCUUGCCAUGCAGCCUAUUUUGGCGGUUCACAAUAUCAGGCAUAUGGAUGUGGAAUGCAAGUGGAGGAAACCAGUGGUGUCCAACCAGGUGCAAUCAGUGGAGGACCUGUACCUGGCCGAAGACUACAACCUUCUGUCCCGAGAGCCCACAGAGCAGGAUCUUCAGUGGCUAAGGAACAGUCUCUGUGCCAGGUUCAGUGGAAUAGCACUGAACAGGAGCCAUAACAACUGAACUGCUACCCUUGCACCAACUCCAACAGGCACACCAUGAGGAAAGGGAGGUUGACGGCCAGCAAUUAUGGAGCAGUGGUUAGGGCCAAGUGCGUUACUCCGCCGCUGUUAAAAAGGGUCCUCAGAUCAGUUGUUGGAUGGGGUGUUCUGUAAGUGGGGCACAAAUAACAGGCAUGGAUGUGAGAAGUCAGGGCUUUGUGGUCACCAUAGCAGUGUUGGUGGUCAAGUGUCCCUAUAGUGCAAGGGACAUUACCAUUGAAUAGGCAGUCGAAAGGAUUUCAACAUCAAGGAGGGAGGAUUUAAAAAACAAAAUGUACCCCUUUUUCUCCCCAAUUUCAUGGUAUGCAAUCGGUAGUUACAGUCUUGUCCCAUUGCUGCAACUCCCGCACGGUCUCGGGAGAGGUGAAGGUCGAGAUCCAUGCAUCCUCCGAAACACGACCCAGCCAUGCCGCACUGCUGCUUGACAGAAUGCUAGCUUAACCCAGAAGCCAGACGCACCAAUGCGUCAGAGGAAACACCGUGUCAGCGUGCAUGCGCCCGCCCCGCCACAGGAGUCUCUAGAGCGUAACGGGACAAGGACAUCCCAGCCGGCUAAACCCUCCCUUAAUGACGCUGGGCUAAUUGUGC